rnacentral:lncRNA from 1 species
AUCCUCCUCCCGGCCCCCGGCAGCUGCGGCUCGGGGAGCAGCCGGCGGCGCCGCGGCCGCGCAGCCUUUGUCUCGGGCCGCCGGGCGCGCGGGGCCCAGCGCAGGCAGGCCACGCGGGGACGGAGGAGGCAGAGAGGACGGGCUGUGAUGGAGAAACGGGAGAGGAGCCGGCCAGGCGCCACCGUCACCACCAUCACCAACCACCACCACCAUCACCAUCACUGACUGUCGCCCAUCCCAGCUCCCCUGCCUCACCUCCCAUCUCAUAUCCCUGUGCAGUGCCAACUUUAUCAGAUCAUCUCUUUUUCACUGGGUACUACUUUGGAAAAGCGACAGAGUGCGCCAAGUCAGGAAUAAGUACAUCCGCUGUGGGACAUUUAUCUUCCCCUUUCUAUUUAGCUACCUCAAUUUUCUCAUCAGGAAAGGGGGCACAAUGGCAUUUCAUUCCUCUAAAUCACACUGAGAUGGCUGGGUUGCUUCCAGUUUUUCCAGUCCUGGCACUGGACGGUUAUACAUGCUUGGUGAUGAUGAUGAUAAAGUAAUGUCUUCAUUAAAUUGGACAGUUGGGAGUUUUCAGACUUACUCUUCUUUGACUUCUGAGUGUCAGUAUACCAGUAGCAAAUAGAAACAUAAGGAAAGUGAAACUUUGGCUAACAUAAUACCAAGAAUAGAUGCAAAACAGGCACUUUUGUAGGGACAUCACCCAAGAGACCUGCAGGCAAUGGUAUUCAUCUGCAGUGUAGAAAGCACCCCAUCAGUGCCAAGUGGCUGUGGGAGCUCCUCAAUCUGGAUGCACAGUUUCCCGUGGGGUUUUCACCCUACCUAAAGAAUGCUUUAAUU